rnacentral:rRNA from 1 species
UACAUGUGGGGCAAGCGUUGUUCGGAAUCACUGGGCAUAAAGGGUGCGUAGGCGGCAUGAUACGUCUUGGGUGAAAUCCUGCGGCCCAACCGCGGGUCUGCCUGAGAUACGGUCAAGCUGGAGUGCGUGAGGGGUGACUGGAACGCGUGGUGUAGCGGUGAAAUGCGUAGAUAUCACGCGGAAGGCCAACGGCGAAGGCAGGUCACUGGCACGCAACUGACGCUGAGUGCACGAAAGCGUGGGGAGCAAACAGG